AUAAAAUAAAACACGAACCGUCGUAUAAUAUUGGGGAUAGGGCCCAAGAGUUUCUACCGAGUUACCGUAAAUGACUCGACUACGAUGGAGAAUGUGAUUCGG
rnacentral:ncRNA from 2 species